GCCGGGCGCGGUGGCGCACGCCUGUAGUCCCAGCUACUCGGGAGGCUGAGACAGGAGGAUCGCUUGAGUCCAGGAGUUCUGGGCUGUAGUGCGCUAUGCCGAUCGGGUGUCCGCACUAAGUUCGGCAUCAAUAUGGUGACCUCCCGGGAGCGGGGAGCCACCAGGUUGCCUAAGGAGGGGUGAACCGGCCCAGGUCGGAAACGGAGCAGGUCAAAACUCCCGUGCUGAUCAGUAGUGGGAUCGCGCCUGUGAAUAGCCACUGAUAUUGGAUUAAAGUCUCUUUCUUC
ensembl:misc_RNA Metazoa_SRP Metazoan signal recognition particle RNA